GGGGCGGUAGCUCAGUGGUAGAGCAGGAGACUUUUAAUCUCUUGGUCGCAGGUUCGAAUCCUGUCCGCCCUACCA
rnacentral:tRNA from 1 species